rnacentral:rRNA from 1 species
UGUGAGCUCGAUGAGUAGGGCGGGACACGUGGUAUCCUGUCUGAAUAUGGGGGGACCAUCCUCCAAGGCUAAAUACUCCUGACUGACCGAUAGUGAACCAGUACCGUGAGGGAAAGGCGAAAAGAACCCCGGCGAGGGGAGUGAAAAAGAACCUGAAACCGUGUACGUACAAGCAGUGGGAGCCUCUUUAUGGGGUGACUGCGUACCUUUUGUAUAAUGGGUCAGCGACUUAUAUUCUGUAGCAAGGUUAACCGAAUAGGGGAGCCGAAGGGAAACCGAGUCUUAACUGGGCGUUAAGUUGCAGGGUAUAGACCCGAAACCCGGUGAUCUAGCCAUGGGCAGGUUGAAGGUUGGGUAACACUAACUGGAGGACCGAACCGACUAAUGUUGAAAAAUUAGCGGAUGACUUGUGGCUGGGGGUGAAAGGCCAAUCAAACCGGGAGAUAGCUGGUUCUCCCCGAAAGCUAUUUAGGUAGCGCCUCGUGAAUUCAUCUCCGGGGGUAGAGCACUGUUUCGGCAAGGGGGUCAUCCCGACUUACCAACCCGAUGCAAACUGCGAAUACCGGAGAAUGUUAUCACGGGAGACACACGGCGGGUGCUAACGUCCGUCGUGAAGAGGGAAACAACCCAGACCGCCAGCUAAGGUCCCAAAGUCAUGGUUAAGUGGGAAACGAUGUGGGAAGGCCCAGACAGCCAGGAUGUUGGCUUAGAAGCAGCCAUCAUUUAAAGAAAGCGUAAUAGCUCACUGGUCGAGUCGGCCUGCGCGGAAGAUGUAACGGGGCUAAACCAUGCACCGAAGCUGCGGCAGCGACACUAUGUGUUGUUGGGUAGGGGAGCGUUCUGUAAGCCUGUGAAGGUGGCCUGUGAGGGUUGCUGGAGGUAUCAGAAGUGCGAAUGCUGACAUAAGUAACGAUAAAGCGGGUGAAAAGCCCGCUCGCCGGAAGACCAAGGGUUCCUGUCCAACGUUAAUCGGGGCAGGGUGAGUCGACCCCUAAGGCGAGGCCGAAAGGCGUAGUCGAUGGGAAACAGGUUAAUAUUCCUGUACUUGGUGUUACUGCGAAGGGGGGACGGAGAAGGCUAUGUUGGCCGGGCGACGGUUGUCCCGGUUUAAGCGUGUAGGCUGGUUUUCCAGGCAAAUCCGGAAAACCAAGGCUGAGGCGUGAUGACGAGGCACUACGGUGCUGAAGCGACAAAUGCCCUGCUUCCAGGAAAAGCCUCUAAGCAUCAGGUAACAUCAAAUCGUACCCCAAACCGACACAGGUGGUCAGGUAGAGAAUACCAAGGCGCUUGAGAGAACUCGGGUGAAGGAACUAGGCAAAAUGGUGCCGUAACUUCGGGAGAAGGCACGCUGAUAUGUAGGUGAAGCGACUUGCUCGUGGAGCUGAAAUCAGUCGAAGAUACCAGCUGGCUGCAACUGUUUAUUAAAAACACAGCACUGUGCAAACACGAAAGUGGACGUAUACGGUGUGACGCCUGCCCGGUGCCGGAAGGUUAAUUGAUGGGGUUAGCGGUAACGCGAAGCUCUUGAUCGAAGCCCCGGUAAACGGCGGCCGUAACUAUAACGGUCCUAAGGUAGCGAAAUUCCUUGUCGGGUAAGUUCCGACCUGCACGAAUGGCGUAAUGAUGGCCAGGCUGUCUCCACCCGAGACUCAGUGAAAUUGAACUCGCUGUGAAGAUGCAGUGUACCCGCGGCAAGACGGAAAGACCCCGUGAACCUUUACUAUAGCUUGACACUGAACAUUGAGCCUUGAUGUGUAGGAUAGGUGGGAGGCUUUGAAGUGUGGACGCCAGUCUGCAUGGAGCCGACCUUGAAAUACCACCCUUUAAUGUUUGAUGUUCUAACGUUGGCCCGUAAUCCGGGUUGCGGACAGUGUCUGGUGGGUAGUUUGACUGGGGCGGUCUCCUCCUAAAGAGUAACGGAGGAGCACGAAGGUUGGCUAAUCCUGGUCGGACAUCAGGAGGUUAGUGCAAUGGCAUAAGCCAGCUUGACUGCGAGCGUGACGGCGCGAGCAGGUGCGAAAGCAGGUCAUAGUGAUCCGGUGGUUCUGAAUGGAAGGGCCAUCGCUCAACGGAUAAAAGGUACUCCGGGGAUAACAGGCUGAUACCGCCCAAGAGUUCAUAUCGACGGCGGUGUUUGGCACCUCGAUGUCGGCUCAUCACAUCCUGGGGCUGAAGUAGGUCCCAAGGGUAUGGCUGUUCGCCAUUUAAAGUGGUACGCGAGCUGGGUUUAGAACGUCGUGAGACAGUUCGGUCCCUAUCUGCCGUGGGCGCUGGAGAACUGAGGGGGGCUGCUCCUAGUACGAGAGGACCGGAGUGGACGCAUCACUGGUGUUCGGGUUGUCAUGCCAAUGGCACUGCCCGGUAGCUAAAUGCGGAAGAGAUAAGUGCUGAAAGCAUCUAAGCACGAAACUUGCCCCGAGAUGAGUUCUCCCUGACUCCUUGAGA